rnacentral:lncRNA from 1 species
AAUUAUAGUAGACUAUAUUUCAUGGUAUUCUGACCUAAUCUGAUCAUAGGUCAACAGAACAUACGUAGUUGCCUAUAAAAUGUUUUACAGACAUCUACCAUAACUUAAGAGGUACUUAAUGGUGUUCUACAAUUCGAUAAAUUGCUUUGCAAUGACCCAGUGUCACAAAUGAUGUAUUUUAUUGAUUGUGCAGCAUAUCCUGGGAUAGCCUUGGAUGUAAUAUAGCUAGACACAUUGGUAAAUUAAUGUUAGCUAGCCAUGCUGCCUCAUGCUAGUUGUGUUAAACCCAGCUAUAGUUUUGUUUCAUUACUGGUAGCUAGCAUGUUCUAUCUAUCAGUGAUCAUUGCCUUGGUGAUUGAUUUGAUGGGUUGUCAUGGAUACAGCACACUACUGAUUACACAGCCAACGACAUGUGCCUCACCAUGCAAUAAUUACUCCAAAUGCAUCUUCUCAUUAUUUAUUUCAUACCUUUCAAUGUCUGUUGGAAACUGGACAUUUUACAGUAAACAAGCUAGCUAGCUACCGCCAAGAAGAGGAUGAAGACCAUUUGUGCCUUACUGAAUGUACGUGACGAUCAUUAGGAAAACGUCCACUGUCUAGUGCACUCGUCCCAAUCAAAGUUCUCUAUAAACAAUUAGGUCACCAGGCUGCUCGUUAUGGCGCACACCUGUCACCAUCAUCAGACUCACCUGGACUCCAUCACUUCCCUGAUUACCUUCCCUAUAGAUGUCACUCCCUUUGGUUCCUUCCCCAGGCGUUAUUGUUUCUGUUUCUGUGUUAUGUCUGUGCGUUGUUUGUGUUUCUUAUUUUGUAUUAUGUUGUGUUUAUUUAUUAAAACACUCACUCCCUGAACUUGCUUCCCAACUCUCAGCGCACAUCAUCACACAUUCUUAUGGAGGACUGCUCAUACUGGGGAGUGUCAAUAUGGCCGACUGUUGGCUUCAAAGCCUCUCAUUGUCCAGUACAUAGUAUUAACAAUCCAGGUGUCACGUCCUGACCAGUAAAAGGGGUUGUUUGUUAUUAUAGUUUGGUCAGGGCGUGGCAGGGGGGGUUUGUUUAGUGUGUUUCGUUUUUUGGGGGAAAUGUUCUAUUUCUAUGUCUGUGUCUAUUUAUUCUAUUUCUAUGCUUAGUUUAUUGGGUUGACCUUCAAUUGGAGGCAGCUGUUCCUCGUUGCCUCUAAUUGAAGGUCCUAUUUAAUAGGGGUGUUUGUUCAUUGGGAUUGGUGGGUAAUUGUUUCUCCGUAUAGUCAUUUGUCCUUGCGGGACUGUUUUUCG